AAUGGCAAUUAUCAUAAUUAGAAGAUUUAUAAUAAUGUAAAUUCCAAGUAAUGGAAUGCUUCCGGUUCUUGGUAUCUUAUCAGCCAUCACUCCGAGGAUAAAUGUCAUGGUCAUUAUGUUUGUGAGACCAACGUUAAGCUGAAAAC
ensembl:ncRNA T01H10.9 ncRNA